rnacentral:rRNA from 1 species
GGAGUUAGCCGGUGCUUCUUCUGUGAGUGAUGUCCUUCCUGCCGGUUAUUGACCCGCAGGCCUUCUUCCUCACUGAAAGUGCUUUACAACCCGAAGGCCUUCUUCACACACGCGGCAUGGCUGGAUCAGGGUUGCCCCCAUUGUCCAAUAUUCCCCACUGCUGCCUCCCGUAGGAGUCUGGGCCGUGUCUCAGUCCCAGUGUGGCUGAUCAUCCUCUCAGACCAGCUACGGAUCGUCGCCUUGGUGAGCCGUUACCUCACCAACCAGCUAAUCCGACAUAGGCUCAUCCGAUAGCGCGAGGCCCGAAGGUCCCCCGCUUUCCCCCGUAGGGCGUAUGCGGUAUUAGCCUGGGUUUCCCCAGGUUAUCCCCCACUACCGGGCAGAUUCCUAUGCAUUACUCACCCGUCCGCCGCUCGCCACCAGGGAGCAAGCUCCCCGUGCUGCCGCUCGACUUGCAUGUGUAGCNCGCCGCCACGCGUCAUCUGAGCAGAAUACAACUACUGA